UAACCUGCUAAAUAGACCAGCCGGCUUUGGCUGGCUGCUGUCUUCUUAGAGGGACUAUCAGCGUUUAGCUGAUGGAAGUUUGAGGCAAUAACAGGUCUGUGAUGCCCUUAGAUGUUCUGGGCCGCACGCGCGCUACACUGACAGAGCCAGCGAGUCUACCACCUUGGCCGGAAGGCCUGGGUAAUCUUGUGAAACUCUGUCGUGAUGGGGAUAGAACAUUGCAAUUAUUGUUCUUCAACGAGGAAUACCUAGUAAGCGUGAGUCAUCAGCUCGCGUUGAUUACGUCCCUGCCCUUUGUACACACCGCCCGUCGCU
rnacentral:rRNA from 1 species